GUCCCAUCGAUGACAUCCAAUAAAAUUGAAACGAUAUAGAGAAAAUUAACAUGACUUAUGCACAAAAUAGCAUACAUUAAUCGAAGAAUAUACCAUUAUU